UACGUAGGUGGCAAGCGUUGUCCGGAAUUAUUGGGCGUAAAGCGCGCGCAGGCGGUCCUUUAAGUCUGAUGUGAAAUCCCGUGGCUUAACCACGGGCGGUCAUUGGAAACUGGGGGACUUGAGUGCAGAAGAGAAGAGCGGAAUUCCACGUGUAGCGGUGAAAUGCGUAGAGAUGUGGAGGAACACCAGUGGCGAAGGCGGCUCUUUGGUCUGUAACUGACGCUGAGGAGCGAAAGCGUGGGGAGCGAACAGG
rnacentral:rRNA from 1 species